rnacentral:lncRNA from 1 species
AAGGUUAAAGGUCAGGCAGGGGUCACCCAGACAGGAGUCUCCAGGUGUGGCCCCGCCCCCAUCCAGGUGUGUCCCAGGUGUGUCCCCAAUGCCCCAGGUGUGUUUGGGUGUGUCCCAGGUGUGUUUGGGUGUGUCUCAGGUGUGUUUGGGUGUGUCCCACACUCACCUUGCAGGUGUCCCCGCCCCCGCCCAGGUGUCCGGCACACACCAUGGCCCAUCCCAGCUGUACCCAGCUGUACCCAGGUGUAUCCCAGGUGUAACUCAGGUAUAUCCCAGGUGUGUUUGGGUGUGUCCCAGGUGUACCCAGGUGUGUUUGGGUGUGUCCCAGGUGUAUCAGUCUCACCUUGCAGGUGUCCCCGCCCCCGCCCAGGUGUCCGGCACACACCAUGGCCCAUCCCAGCUGUACCC